AUCAAGUCUGCCCUUAUAAAAGUAUCACCAGUUUACCUACUUUACAUUCAAAGGUAAUGUUAAUGCUUGCACAUCAUUACCCAUCCUCCAAAGAAUUUACUAUGUUAGCCUUUACUCCUUCAAACACAUUUAUAAGGUUACUGGAAUUAGCAAUGGCUAACAUAUAAAAUAGUAUAUUAGAUGGUAGCCUUUCUAUAAAAUAGCAUAAAAUAGCCAUUUAUAUUGUCGCAUAAGCCUUUAAUCAUUCCCUUUCCAACUUCAAGUCAUGUUCUUGUGUUCCUUAUUGUAUUGGAGUGCUGAAAUAUAAGACACACUAAGGGCAGGUAUGGCUUUCCAUUAAUGUAAAGUACAUCUCUCCGUGGGUUUAGGAAUAGGAGGAGGGGCGAAUCCCCCUCCCCUAAAAGAAUAGUGAGGGGGGCCGCCAGGUCAUGAUGUUGU